rnacentral:rRNA from 1 species
CGGCUAACUUCGUGCCAGCAGCCGCGGUAAUACGAAGGGGGCUAGCGUUGUUCGGAAUAACUGGGCGUAAAGCGCACGUAGGCGGAUACUUAAGUGAGGGGUGAAAUCCCAGGGCUCAACCCUGGAACUGCCUUUCAUACUGGGUAUCUCGAGUUCGAGAGAGGUGAGUGGAAUUGCGAGUGUAGAGGUGAAAUUCGUAGAUAUUCGCAGGAACACCA